ensembl:lncRNA
GGGGCUGGCGGGAGCACGGGCGUGCGCGUAGCCGGCGGGGAGGCUCGGCAGCGGGGCAGGCAGCGCUCACCACCCCCUUCCCCGCAGAGUCGCCGGUUUCUACACGCUGCAGGUCUGGCCCGGCCUGCGCCUCGUCUCGCUCAACAUGAACUUCUGCUCCCAGGCCAACUUCUGGCUCCUCAUUAACUCCACCGACCCCGCGGGGCAGCUGCAGUGGCUCGUGGGCGUCCUGGAGGCUGCCGAGCAGCGAGGGGAGAAGGUGCACAUCAUCGGGCAUAUCCCCCCGGCACACUGCCUCCGGAGCUGGAGCUGGAACUACUACCGCAUCGUCAACAGGUGAGCCCUGCCCCGGCUGCUCCAGACACCGGGGCUCCCACGCCAGCCCUGCCUCUGCUGGGAAGAGCAGGCAGAUCCUGCCCCACAGCUGGUGUAGGGAGAGGAUGGGUGGGUGUUGUUAUGCCGGUGUGCCCCGGGCUCCGCGUGCUGCUCGCAGGGACCACCAGCCGGGGCGGGAAGCCAAAGCUGCAGGGCAGGGCCGCGCUGGAGCCGGAGCGAGGGCCGGACGGAGCGAGCGCCAGCAGGCACAGCCCUGGGAGCACGGCGUCAGCUGAGCCCAGCAGCAUGUGACGGGGCGCCUCAGGCCAUGGCACGAGCUGCGCUGCGCUGCGCUGGCUGCCGGGGCGGCGGGACAGGGAGGGGGUCCAGCCGCGCUGCGCUGGCUCCCCGGGCAGCGCCGCAGGGAUGGGGAGGAGGGUUGGAGGCCGGCCCCACGCGGCAGCCCUCAGCGUGCGCCGCCCC